GACGAACGCUGGCGGCGUGCUUAACACAUGCAAGUCGAACGGAAAGGCCCUGCUUUUGUGGGGUGCUCGAGUGGCGAACGGGUGAGUAACACGUGAGUAACCUGCCCUUGACUUUGGGAUAACUUCAGGAAACUGGGGCUAAUACCGGAUAGGAGCUCCUGCUGCAUGGUGGGGGUUGGAAAGUUUCGGCGGUUGGGGAUGGACUCGCGGCUUAUCAGCUUGUUGGUGGGGUAGUGGCUUACCAAGGCUUUGACGGGUAGCCGGCCUGAGAGGGUGACCGGCCACAUUGGGACUGAGAUACGGCCCAGACUCCUACGGGAGGCAGCAGUGGGGAAUAUUGCACAAUGGGCGGAAGCCUGAUGCAGCAACGCCGCGUGCGGGAUGACGGCCUUCGGGUUGUAAACCGCUUUCGCCUGUGACGAAGCGUGAGUGACGGUAAUGGGUAAAGAAGCACCGGCUAACUACGUGCCAGCAGCCGCGGUGAUACGUAGGGUGCGAGCGUUGUCCGGAUUUAUUGGGCGUAAAGGGCUCGUAGGUGGUUGAUCGCGUCGGAAGUGUAAUCUUGGGGCUUAACCCUGAGCGUGCUUUCGAUACGGGUUGACUUGAGGAAGGUAGGGGAGAAUGGAAUCCCUGGUGGAGCGGUGGAAUGCGCAGAUAUCAGGAGGAACACCAGUGGCGAAGGCGGUUCUCUGGGCCUUUCCUGACGCUGAGGAGCGAAAGCGUGGGGAGCGAACAGGCUUAGAUACCCUGGUAGUCCACGCUGUAAACGGUGGGUACUAGGUGUGGGGUCCAUUCCACGGGUUCCGUGCCGUAGCUAACGCUUUAAGUACCCCGCCUGGGGAGUACGGCCGCAAGGCUAAAACUCAAAGGAAUUGACGGGGCCCCGCACAAGCGGCGGAGCAUGCGGAUUAAUUCGAUGCAACGCGUAGAACCUUACCUGGGUUUGACAUGGAUCGGGAGUGCUCAGAGAUGGGUGUGCCUCUUUUGGGGUCGGUUCACAGGUGGUGCAUGGCUGUCGUCAGCUCGUGUCGUGAGAUGUUGGGUUAAGUCCCGCAACGAGCGCAACCCUUGUUCACUGUUGCCAGCACGUUAUGGUGGGGACUCAGUGGAGACCGCCGGGGUCAACUCGGAGGAAGGUGGGGAUGACGUCAAGUCAUCAUGCCCCUUAUGUCCAGGGCUUCACGCAUGCUACAAUGGCUGGUACAGAGAGUGGCGAGCCUGUGAGGGUGAGCGAAUCUCGGAAAGCCGGUCUCAGUUCGGAUUGGGGUCUGCAACUCGACCUCAUGAAGUCGGAGCCGCUAGUAAUCGCAGAUCAGCAACGCUGCGGUGAAUACGUUCCCGGGGC
rnacentral:rRNA from 1 species